CCUACGAGAGGCUGCAGUGGGGAAUAUUGGACAAUGGGGGGAACCCUGAUCCAGCCAUGCCGCGUGUGUGAAGAAGGCCCUCGGGUUGUAAAGCACUUUCAGUGAGGAAGAACGCCUGGUGGUUAAUACCCAUCAGGAAAGACAUCACUCACAGAAGAAGCACCGGCUAACUCCGUGCCAGCAGCCGCGGUAAUACGGAGGGUGCGAGCGUUAAUCGGAAUUACUGGGCGUAAAGCGCGCGUAGGUGGCUUGAUAAGCCGGUUGUGAAAGCCCCGGGCUCAACCUGGGAACGGCAUCCGGAACUGUCAAGCUAGAGUGCAGGAGAGGAAGGUAGAAUUCCCGGUGUAGCGGUGAAAUGCGUAGAGAUCUGGAGGAAUACCAGUGGCGAAGGCGGCCUUCUGGACUGACACUGACACUGAGGUGCGAAAGCGUGGGUAGCAAACAGGAUUAGAUACCCCGGUAGUC
rnacentral:rRNA from 1 species